rnacentral:rRNA from 1 species
CAGUCGCCACGGUAAAACGAAGGGUGCAAGCGUUAAUCGGAAUUACUGGGCGUAAAGCGUGCGUAGGCGGUUUGUUAAGUCUGCUGUGAAAUCCCCGGGCUCAACCUGGGAAUGGCAGUGGAUACUGGCAAGCUAGAGUGUGUCAGAGGAUGGUGGAAUUCCCGGUGUAGCGGUGAAAUGCGUAGAGAUCGGGAGGAACAUCAGUGGCGAAGGCGGCCAUCUGGGACAACACUGACGCUGAGGCACGAAAGCGUGGGGAGCAAACAGGAUUAGAUACCCCUGUAGUCCCUGUCUCUUAUAC